rnacentral:lncRNA from 1 species
CACUUUAUUUAUUUUUCUAUUUUGAUAUGUAAUUAUGUAUCUGUUCUAUACAAAUGCCUUGUAGAGAUUUAACCUUACUUUUAGGAUUUCUUUUCGUAUUCACAUCUUGUUUGAAAUUUGAUCUAAUUGGGAUCUUAUUUCGAUGCUUUUUCAUAUCUACAUUUUUUAAUUCAUAGGCUAAAAUGUUGAACAUGGGUUUGAUGUUUCGUCUACACAAUAUUAUAAAUAUAAAAUUCCAAUGAAAUAGUAUUGUUCAGAACUUGGAUUCAGUGUCCUGCAAAUCAUGUAAGGGACCUUGUAUUGAAACAGAUUAGCAUUGUAAGGAGAAAUUGACAUGUGAAUACAUGUGUAGCUGUUGUCCCUGAAACUAGCGAAGACAAAGCUAUUACCUCCAAAAAAAAAAAAAUUAGAAACCAUUCCUUUUUUUUUAUAAUUUUAAAAAACAGUUGGUUCUAAGAUAUGCUUUGUAACUCAUAAUGUCUGUUGAUUUUAUGCAGCUACCUAAAGGUACACAUCAAUGGUCGAGUUUCCUGACCCCAGAAGAACUCACCAUGAUUCUAAAACGUGCAGGGGUUGAUGUAAGCCAACCAAGCAAUCCCUUUGAUAUCUGAAACUGAACUAACCAUUGUGCGUUUUGACUAACCUCUGCGCUGCUGAAUUGUUGGGUGAAUAGGUGAAAGAGAUGGCGGGAUUUGUGUACAACCCUUUAACAGGGAGAUGGUCACUAUCGGAUGAUAUUAGUGUAAAUUUUAUUGCUUAUGGUACUAAAGAAAAGUAAUGAAUAGGGUUGUUAAGGUGUGCCAGACUGUGGAACAACGUAGCGCCGCAAAUUCGUUUUGAGUGAGCCUCAUUUGAUGAGGCACACUUCUAGUGCGUCCACUCGCCCUUUUUGAAUCAUGGUAUGCGCAUAAUGAAGUUUUUUUAUUUUUUUAAUUAAAUCACAUGGUUGAAGUUCUCUAAUGUAUCUUUAUUUUUUGAUUUGUUGUAUUGUCAAACUUCCUAUUUUGUUUGUAAUGUUGGAGUAUUUAUCAAUAAACAUGCGACUAUAAGGAAAUAAUCAAAUAUUCGAAAUAGGUGCAGAUCUUGGUGGAUUUCCUUGUGUCAAGCUAAUAUUUAAAGUCCAUGACAUUUUAAUGAUGGGAAACGAUAUAACUAUGUUGUAGACUAGAACGGCUCGAUUUUCCAUGAAAGAUUCGAGGGAAGCAGUCUAUGUUCUAGGAAUUAAGAUUUAUAGAGAUAGAUCAAAAAGGUUGCUUGGACUCUCGCAAUUUGUCUUACGUAUAGAAGAUGCUAAAAUGGUUUGACAUGGAAUCAAAUCAAAGAAUGUAGAUGAAAACAUCUUUGGCAAUUGUCACUGGUGGAUGAAAGCUCACUGCGAAUGUUCACGAAAUAUUUUAUGGAUGUCAACUGAUGAAAUGAGAUUUAGUGGAAUAUAUAAAAAAGUUCAUCUACUUAAAAGCUUUAGUGGUCUAGUGAAAUAUCUUAAUGUAUAGAGUGUAAUUCUUAUUUUGUAGAUAAGUACAAAUUUUAACUGUUAUGUAAAUCAAUAUGUACCUUUGAAUUUAGGGAAAUUCAACCAUAAAGAGAGACUUUCUCUUCAUUUGUAGUCACUUAACUGUAAUUUACUCAAAAUAUUUUUUACGCUGUUGUUUUUUUUUUUUGUGACAUUUUUUAUUCUUUUGCUGCUCUUUUCUCUUUGGGGUUUGUUUUCAUGUCAAUAAAUAGUUUAAAUGGCACAACUUACCAGACUAACAAUCACAUUCCACUGAGGAAGCAUAAGGGGAUACUAGAUUAAAUUUCCUAGCAACUGCUCGUCUAAAGCGAUGAAGUUGGGAUCAGAGGUAACGGUAGUUCUUUCACACAAGUUAAUAUCCUCAUGGAGUUCAUAUGAUCAUACCUAAGAAUGCUUGUAGUAACAACUGAUGGUUCCUUAACAUGCUUUGUUACCAUCAGUAACAAAAAGAAUUUGAUGUUUGUGUCGAAACAGUGCUACUUUUUGGAUUAGAAAUUUUACCAUGUUCAUUAAUUGGAGCGUCACAGUCAUGGCUACUAGAAGUGAAAGGUUCUGCACCCCUUCUUCCAAAUUUCAUACCUCUAUGACUGUAAAACAAGCAGUGCAUAAACUUGGGCUACAUCUCAAGAAUGUUUCUUUCAUUACUAAAGACAAGAGUAAGCUUCAUACGGUUUCGAUUAACCCUUUGGCACUUUCCCUUUAAUAUUUCAACGAAUUUACGAACCUUUCAAUCGCAUAAACAAUUAACUUAUUAUCAACCGACAAAUCUUGUAAAAAAUAUAACAAUGAAGCAUGACAAUCAAAGUGAAUCAACGAUUAAUCAAUUCAAAUUUUAAAAAAAAAUAAAAAUAAAAACAUAUCAUUUCUAAAAUGUUAUGAAAAUUCAAAAGAUAAAAAAAAAAAACAAAAUAAUUAACCAAAGUGAGACAAAGAUUAAUCAAUGUAUCAAUGAUAAACUAUGGAUCGAUAAACUCCAAUCCGCAUGAAAGUCAUAUUGAUAAAUCUAUAAUUGGAUGCCUAAAUUUUAUAAUGUUGCCGUGUGACGGAAUGUAAAAAGGGAAAAAAAAGAGCAACAAAAAUAUUUAGGUACUAAAAUAAAAAAGCUGUUAUAGUUUAGGGCCUAAAUUAUGAAUAAAGCCUUUUUCUUUUGAUGGAUGGAUUUCACUUUCAGUCCCUCAAAUUUGUAACGAGGAGAAACGGAGACGAGCUCAGUUUUCCAAAGAUAUCACCAAAUGAAUGCAACAAAUUUGAGACUUGUACUCAAAGACCUCAGUUUUCCAGUCUCCUAUGGCUCUCAAUCUUCGCCAGAAACAAACAGGUAAUUUUCGGUUUUGAUCUCUCUUCUUCCGUUUCCCCUAAAUUACCAGUACCCCCAUUCCAUUUCUCUUUUCUAGAUUUUCAUGUAAAUGCAGUGGCAUCGAACUCUCAUUUUGAUCCUGUUACAAUUUUGUUAAAUUUGAUAUGUUCUUUGAAUGUGAAUCUAUAAAAGUAGCGUUAUUCUACCAAUUGUUUUGUUAAAUUUUAUAACCUUUCGGAUCUAGUUUUGUCUGAUUCUUCCUUUACUGGGCUGUUGAAUUUUGAUCUUGUCAUUUUGGAGCUUUGAUCGUAUUGGCUGUUUUGGUUUGCUUUUACAGAAUGUAUAAUCCGAAUGCUUAAUCUGAAUCAACCUGUGAAUUCUACUGGAACUGCUAAUAAAGAGGUUUACAAGAUUUUGAUUGAUGACAAAUUGUGUCAGAAUAUACUGUCCUCUUUGAUACAUUUCAAGGAUCUUCGAAAAUACGGUGUUACGCUAUACUUCCUUAUUGACAAAGAUCGGAAACCUGCCCAUGAUGUACCAGCUGUCUACUUUGUUCAGCGUAAUCAAUCUAAUAUCCAGAGAAUCGUAGCAGAUGCUUCGCGUUCUCUCUAUGAUAGCUUCCAUUUGAAUUUCUCUGCGUCUAUACCAAGGCCGCUUUUGGAGGAUCUGGCUUCCGGGACUUUGAAUUCAGAUUCAAUCCAUAAGAUUUCGAAGGUUCAUGAUCAGUAUUUGGAGUUUGUGUCGUUGGAGGAUAAUUUGUUCUCAUUGUCCCAGAAGUCUACGUAUGUGCAAUUGAAUGAUCCAUCAGCAGGGGAUAAAGAGAUCGAGGAUAUUAUAGAGAGGAUUGUUAGUGGAUUAUUUUGUGUUUUGGCUACACUGGCUGCGGUUCCCAUAAUAAGAUGCCCGCGCGGUGGACCGGCAGAGUUGGUUGCUUCGGCAUUGGAUCAGAAGUUGAGAGAUCAUUUGUUGUCAAAGAACAAAAUGUUUUCUGAAAGUGGGAGUUUUGCGAGCUCAUUUCAGUGUCCAAUUUUGUGUAUGUUUGAUAGGAACUUCGAGUUGUCGGCUGCGAUACAACAUGAUUUUAGGUACCGCCCACUUGUACAUGAUAUUCUUGGAUUGAAGCUUAAUAGGUUGAGUGUGCCAGGAGAGAAAGGUGGUAUGAAAUCAUAUGAGCUGGAUAGGUCAGACCCAUUUUGGAUGGCAAAUGGAUCAUUGGAAUUCCCUGAAGUUGCUGUUGAGAUUAAGACCCAGUUGAACACAUAUAAGAAAGAUGUUGAUGAGGUGAAUAGAAGGACUGGUGGGACUGCAGGAGCAUAGUUUGACGGGACAGACUUGAUUGGGAACACAAAGCACUUAAUGAAUGCAGUGAACUCCCUGCCUGAACUGACCGAACGGAAGCAGGUCAUUGAUAAACACACAAACAUUGCAACAGUGCUCUUGGGUGAAAUAAAGGAGAGAUCUCUUGACUCUUAUGUAAAGAAGGAGAAUGAUAUGAUGGUGAGAGGUGGCUUUGACCGAAAUGAGUUGUUGGCUGUACUUAAGGGGAAAGGUACCAAGAUGGAUAAGCUGCGUUUUGCUAUAAUGUAUAUUAUCUCUUCCGAAACCAUUAAUCCAGCAGAAGCAGAAGCAGUGGAAGCAGCAAUAGUAGAAUCUGAGGUUGAUACGGGUGCAUUUCAGUAUGUAAAGAAGAUCAAGUCAUUGAAUGUUUCAUUGGCGUCAGCAAAUUCUGCUAGUAGAAAUAACAUUGUUGAUUGGGCUGAGAAGCUCUAUGGCCUGUCAAUUAGUGCUGUCACAGCAGGUGUGAAGAACCUAUUAUCUAGUCAUAGGCAGUUGGCUUUGACCAGGACUGUGGAAGCAUUGAUGGAGGGGAAACCAAACCCUGAAAUUGAUUCUUACCUUGUAUUUGAUCCUCGUGCCCCUAAAUCGAGCUCUGGAACUAGAAGUAGCCAUCUGAAAGGACCCUUUAAAGAAGCUAUUGUGUUCAUGAUUGGUGGUGGAAAUUACGGGGAGUAUGGCAGCUUGCAAGACCUUGUGCGGCAUCAGCAACCUGUCAAGCAUAUUAUAUAUGGAAAUUUUAACCGUAAUGGAGUUUGUUGAGCAACUCUCACUGUUGGGGCAGAGGAUGGGAUUGGGCAAUUCUGUUGCUACUUCUUCAGCAAGCCAUUAAUGCAGCCUGUUGUUUAAUUUGCAGAGCCUACUAUUCGCUGGUCAAGUGCAUAAAGAAGGCAGCAUCAUGCAAAAUGGAGAUACCAUGCCAUGUUACCAAGUAAACGCAGAUCCAAAGGUGAUUAUCUAAGCACCCAUGCCUUAUUUUUUCUUGCUGGUUUCAAUCGUGAUUUGAACCUUCAACUAAUUAGAAGAACAUAUAUUUUUGUUCCAUUACAGUGAGUUUAACAUGAUUCAUUUGUGUAAUUUUGUAAUUGUAUUCUUGGAAAAAUGUCAGGACACUUAUUGUGCGUUUAAAAUGAUUCAUUUGUGUAAUUUCUUUCCUGAUUGGUGGUGUGAAUGCACAUGCUCAUGGUUAUGGUAAUAAAUUUUGAUUAUCUAAGCACCCAUGCCUUAUUUUUUCUUGCUGGUUUCAAUCGUGAUUUGAACCUUCAACUAAUUAGAAGAACAUAUAUUUUUGUUCCAUUACAGUGAGUUUAACAUGAUUCAUUUGUGUAAUUUUGUAAUUGUAUUCUUGGAAAAAUGUCAGGACACUUAUUGUGCGUUUAAAAUGAUUCAUUUGUGUAAUUUCUUUCCUGAUUGGUGGUGUGAAUGCACAUGCUCAUGGUUAUGGUAAUAAAUUUUGAUUACUUGAUUGGAUCAACGAAAUCAUUUGUCUCAAUAAAAUCCAUUUUUGGACACGACAAUAAUUUAUAUUCUCAAAUAAUAUAUCAGCGCUAGAUUAGCAAAUCACUGAUUAUAUUUCCCUUCUGACAAGGAGAAGAAAUCACAGAAUCAAUUCACAGUAUCCUUUAGAUUCUUUUUAUGUUUGAAUUUAUUAUGCAAAAAUAUAAGUCACAUAUUAAAUUUGAAGGCAAUUAAGAGUAACACGAAUGAUUUUCAAAGAUCAGUCUGCAAUAUACAAUACCAAAAUAACAGAACACAGAGUAUGAACAUAUAAUAUAAAAAGAACUCAUCUUCUGUUUCUAGGUGUUGCUAGAUUUUGCAACUGGAAAUUCCUUAAUCGAGAUUAGAUACUUAAAAAAUAGUCAACCCAUGAACCGUCAUCAAGCAGUUGCGUCAGGGAUCUAGGAGAAAUAGUGCUGGUUCAGUUUUUGCUGUAUAUCCAAACUUGUAUGAACUAUACUUUCUAUGUACUCCCUUGAGUUUUCCGGAUCCUGCUUUCUGAUGGUAAGUAACCAUCAACUUUGAGCAUUCCCUGUUGACAUGCAUGACAAAAGCAUCCUUCAUUAGUGUUCUACACAAAGGUCAAAUAAAGCUAGGCAAGCCUAGCAAUCCAAAUAUAAUAACUUACAACAGCUGAUCUUCUGUGUAUUUAGUAUGCCACUCACUGGUCUUUGUCCAGUUCUUGAACCGGAAAAGACUGCACUGUGCUGUGUAAAUUGCUGCAGCAGCUAGCAGAGAUGGCUGAAACUUGAGCAUUUCAUAUUCAACCAUGCUCAACUCAAUCAGGAAGAACGAGAGAAAUUCAAGCUGGUAUGCCACAGGGUAAUGUAUAUAUCUUAUCAGUUUUUUUUUUUCUUGGGCGAGGCUUAACUAACAAAAAAGGUUUAACAAACAGUAAUCCAUUAAUGAAUUAUCUACCUUUUUCUCAGAUUGUGCUGCCUUGAGAAAUCUCCUCAUGAAAACAUAUGGAGUUGGCACAGACAUGUGGAAUUGUAAAGUGUUCACCAUUAAUUUCUCCUAGAAACAUAGAGAUUACUAUUAAAUAUGCCUAGAGAAAUGCAAGGAAAAUACAGGACUGCUGUAGGAAAUUACCAUAUCUAGAACAUCCUUCCUCGUAUAUGCUUUAUCUGAAAUCAGAACAAAGUCCUCCACUAUUGGGACAGAAACUUCCUCAUACUUGCAUGCUAAUAACAUGGCUGUCAUGCCAACCAAUUGAAGCUUCUUUCGGAUCACAGUGCAACGCUCUAAGAAUCUGUCUAUGAGAUUGAUAGUAAGGAACAAUGUUUCUUCCAUAAGAUCAAAUUUGUAGUGAACCUGCUCAAAAUGAUAUCGUUAGUAAUCUCUAGACAUACUUUGAACAACAAUUAAGUACAAAUUUUUCAAAUCAAUAGUAGUAGCACAUCUUUCCAAUGAGACAGUUCUACUGCAUGCAAAGUAUAUUCUUGAUAGCUGCACCCUAAUUGCCUUGAGGAAAAAGAAAACAAACUAAGGUUAGACCAUACCUCAAUGAGCCAAUCAAUGAGGAUGGCCCUCAUCUUCUCAUUGAUGUCAAAUUGCCUGUCCAUGUAAUUUGGAGAAACACAGGAAGAAACCUGCACAAAUGAACCCUAAAUAAGAAACUCAAAAGACCAAUAAUUCCAAAGAAUGUUUCUCCAUCCACUCUGCCAUAAAUUGCCUCAUUGGCAAAUUUAAAUCAAAGCUUACCUCAGUUUUCUUGUAGUAAGCAUAGAUUUCAUCUACGUACUCAACAACUGCAAGAGGAUCUUUUGAAUCACUGCAGUCAAUAUCAAUGAUAGAGUUCUCCAUAUCUUCCAUUUCAAUGUCCUGUAUAUUGUUCAAUACAAAGAUGAUGUAGCAAUCAUGCUGCUUUGCCUUCCCAAAAAAUAACCAUUUUCACCAAUUAAUAAAUACACAUACCAUUUCAUCAGUUUCAUCUAAGACUGCCUCUGUGUGUUUCACAAACAUAGGGAGUAUAACAUCAUUACCCUCCCCACACUGUUCCACAUCAACGAUUUCGAAAUCGUCUAGACCACCGGGCUUCACUGCCAACUCACUUUGGUUCUUAGUGUCCUUCAAUACAUUCAAUCCAACAAUUUCUAUUUAGUUUCCUAUUGUUUUGGUUUCUACAGUGAUUUGAAGUUGCUUAACAAAUAGUUUAUUGGAAAUCAUAAAGCUUCCACAAUAUGUGGUCAGUAUAGAUAGUACUUCUAGGAAGUGAUGCUGGUUGCUAACCCUUUCAACAGCCAAACUCCUAAACAUAUAAAAAAGAGAAUUUAAGUUUUUGAAGAAAAUUUACCCAAAAAAAAAAAACAAAGAGGUCAAAGCAUAAAGGACAGAAAAGCAAAAAACAAAGAGCAAACUAGAUAGAACCUAGUGUCUGAUCUUUGUUCCAAAGCUGAUUUCUUAUUGCAAAAUUCAUCUUUCCUGUGUAAGACACAACUCAAGUCAAUCCCAAGAAGUACAAAGAAAACUGUAAUAAUGGAGCUUGGAAUUUUGACAGUUGAAAGUACCCUGGAAGUUCUCUUUUAUUAACCACACCAGAGUGGUGGAGUGAAGCUCCUAUAAUGUUCUGAUUAAUGCUACUCAGAGCCCUUCUUUGAUUUUGUUCCAUGUCCUUUACCAUCUUGGCACCACCCAUUCUCAGCCCAUCUUUCAGUUUACAAAAGAUUCCAAUAAGAACAAAAGGAAAAAAAAUAUUCAUGAAAAAUGGAACAAGUGUACAGGUAGUGUAGAGUAGCAAGGAGCUCGAUGUCCCUUAUGCAAGGUCAAGUUCCAGCAUUGAGAGAAUUUGAACCUACAAAUGGGAUCCGACCUGACUCCACUCUGGACUUAGUCAGGACUGAUCAUAUGAUAAAAGAGGCUUACCAUUUGGUGCUGCAAUUGAACCUGGAUUGUUCUCCUUUGAUCUUCUCAUUCUUUUGUUCUUUUGGUUUUCUUUAAGACUAAAAACCCCACUUCCAAGACCCUUCAAGAGAACCAAGAAUAUCAAACAAACUUUAGAUUCAUUGGAAAAAAAACACCCAUUUUCUAAAAGAAUUAAAUGGAAGAAAAAAUAAAGAAAACUAAGCUAACUUGAUCACCUCUACUUAAACGAAACUGUAAAAUCAUGAAAAUUUCAAACUAAAACAAAUCCUUAAUUUUGAUAUUGAAAACAAUAAGGAAGGGGAGACGAGACAAACCCCCAGUGAUUAAGCCUUGUAUCUCUCUCUAUCUCUGUUUGAUGAAAAGGAAAGGAAAAGAAUUAGGAAAGAGCCAACAAGUGGUGUGUGUUUGUGUGUUUUUGCACAUUAAUCCUUCUUUUUAUUUGAAACCUCAACGGCUAGUAAAUGGUUACCGUUGGAUGUAAAUAAAAUUGGAAAAAAAAAAAGUCACGAUGGUUCAUUAGACUAUUAAAAUUAAGCCACGUUGUUAAAAGCCUUUUCGGCUGUGUGGGGUCUGGAUCGAACCCAGGAGCUUAAUAUCGAGCCCUGCUUACGCUCUUCUCCACUAUAAAAGAGCUGAGAACUCGGUUUUUGUCAAAUUGUUACUUCCAUCCCUUUAAUAUGUUCAUCUUUGAGAUAGGUCCCUAUACUUUAUGGCAAUAUCUGGGUUUUGGACUUUUGGUGUACUCGGCCCCUCGUGUCUUCUAAAGUUCGAAAAUGUUUUUAAUAUAACGAAUUAGAAAAAUUAUUGUUUUUAUUUUUAUAUUUUAUAAAAUUAAAACUAAAUAAAACAUAUUUAUUAUUUAAGUCCAACUUCACCAAAUUUAUCAAAAGUCCCAUCUGAAUCCGAUCUAAAUUCCGUUGAAUGAGAUCGAUAAUUCAAUUUAAUUGAAUCCCUGAAUAAUUUGAUUCUUGGAUAAGUUUAAUUUCGCAUAAUUAUUUAAUUGGCCCUCUAAUUUUAUUAAAAUAAUUAUUUUAGCCCCCCAUUUAAUUUUUCACAUCUUUUAGCUUUUGAACUAGCAUUUUUUUGUUAAAUCAUCCCAAAAUAGAUGGAAAAGUUAACGUUUUUCUUUUUUACUUUGCCGACUUGGUAAAAACGUGGAUGACACAUCAGCAUUUAAUUAAAUCUUAAAAAUUUUAAAAAUGCAGAAAAAUAAAAAUCAUUAAAUUAUUAAAAAGUAUAAAAAAAUUUUAAAAAAUUUAAUUAAAUGUUGACAUGUCAUUCGCGUGUAUAUCAUGUUAGCAAAGUUAUCGUUAACUUUUUCAUCCAUUUUGGAUGAUUUAACAAAAAAAAUAAGUUCAAAAAUUAAAAGAGACGAAAAAUUAAAUGAGAUAUUAAAAUAAUUUUUUUUAAAAUUAGAUUAAGUUAUUUUAUUGUUGUAUUGUUCAACAAAUUUAUGAGAUUAGAAUUUAGAUGAACAAAAAAUGUCUAAAAUCUUGUUAGUUAAAAUAUAAUAUGCAAGUCUUAAAACACUUGCAAAUAAUAAAAUUUAAUUACUAAGAAUUAUUAAAUCAUGUAAGAAUAAUACAGUUAUUAUUAUGUAAUUUAUGUUCCAAAUCUUGUAAUAAUUUUUUUUAAAAAUAAACAUUUUAUUUAACUCAUAAAGGGAAAUUAGCCAAUUAAAUUACUAUACGAGUGAUAAAAAAUUAAUAUUAAACCUUCAAAAGAUAUUAUACAAGGGGUGAAUUUAGAUAGAUAAUACGUUUACUUGCGGUUAAUGUAAAAAUAAUAAUAAUAGUGAUAUUAAAUAUUAUAACAUAAGACAAAAAGUAAACUAAAUGUACCACUCAAUCGCUUAUCUAAACUUAUCAUCUAAACUUACCUUAAAUUACGUUACAUGAGUGUAGAAAUAUAAAUAAAAUAUGAAGGUGAAGUUAAACUUCAUUGAUUGAUUCUAUAUUCUUAUAUUACGUAAAGGAAGAGGCAAAAUGAGCUGGCACCAUUAUUUGAUUCUCAGCUCCAACUUAAGUUUUAAUGGCGGCCCCAUUCCAACGGAAAUGGUGGGGUGAAUGAGGAAGAAGCCUUGGAUAGGAUCCCCCACCCACGCCCCCUGUCCUUUGCUUCAUGGACUUAACACUGUGCAGGCAGCCCUUCUUCUUGCGUUCAAACCUACCUAACGCAAAUCGCCUCACCCUCCCUUCUUCUUCUCUGCGUCUUGUAGUUCGGGACGCCCACGUUCCUUGUUUUCCUUUUUUUUUUUUUUAUAAUUAAUUUUUAAAUCAGAUAAAAAAAUAAGAAUUAGUUGACAAAAAGAAGUCAGAAAUUUUAGAAUUAAAUUAUAAAUUUUUAUGAUAAUAAAAAUAUAAUUUUAUUAUUUUAAUAGUUUAUAUCUUUAUAUUUUUAAUAGAUUAAAUUAUUUUUUAUUAUUUUUAGGACCAAAAUAUUAUUUUAAUAUUAUUAAUUUAAAAUUUCAUAAAUUAAUAAAAAAUCUAAAUAUAUAUAUAUAUAUUAUAUAAAUUGCAAGCCCACAUUCAAUAUUUCUAGCAUAAGUUUUAAUUUCAAUUUCAAUUCUACGUAACUUCAAAAGAAAUCUUAGAUUGACAACCCUCAUUUUUAUUGUUAUUAAUAUUUCAUACACUAUAAUCAUAAAUGAGGAUAUAACAUGAAUUAUAAAAAUUCUUUGCAAAAAAAUUAAAGAUGUUAAAUUUGUAAUUGUUUUAGUAAUGUUAUAUAAUUAUAGUCUAAUUUAAAAUUCGAUUCAAAAUUCGACCCGAUUUAAUAAAAGUCAAUAGACAUCUCAAAAGGGAGGGCCUUUCUUUUUCUUCUAAUUUAACCACUCAAGUUGAACUGGUAUACCAAUAAGUAUGAAUAAAUUAGAGGAUAUUAAAUUUUAAUUUCAAUUUUACUUAGGUAUUAUUAUUAUUAUUAUUAUUAUUGUUUUUAGGAUAAGAUAGAUAAUUCCUAAUAUUCAAAGUUUAGCAUACGCUGCCGCUUAUGAUGCAAUUAGGAAAGGCGGUACAAGUAUGAGCUUUUCAUUAUCAUUGUUAAAAGAUAUUAUAAGAUUGCAAUCUAAGUAUCAUGGCACCGAAAUUGAGACUCAACCUUUUACUUUAUCACAAUUUUGUCUGUUCUUUAAAAAAAUUUUAAUGUCGUACCUCUAUUGUACCUAAAUUUUUAUUUAGACUAUCAAUGUGGUACUUUUAUUUAACUGUAUUAAUUUUUUAUACCAUUUAACAUGUGUUAUUUUCAAUGGAAUUUUUUUGUCAGAAUAUGCUAAGAGUCUCUAAUUAAAUAAAUAAAACAUUUAAACCUCAAAAAUCAUUUAACAUUUAAACAAUAAUUAAAUAAAAAUUCAAAUUUUGAAAAUCCCCGAAUUUCAUCUUAUUCUACAUCUCAACUACAAUUUCAACAUUUUUAUCAUUAAAUUCAGUUUUUUUUUACUAAAUUUACACUUUUUAGUUCAUUUUUCAUAAAUUUUCGAUUUAAUUUUUACUAAAAAUUCACUAUCCAUUCAUUCUUGUCCAAUUUAAAUUUUUUUACUUUACUAUUAUUAUUCAUUCGAUAAAUUAUUAUUUUUGAGAAAACUUACUAUUUAUCUUUCGAAAUACUGCUAUUAGUGACACUAUAAUUGUUAAGGUGUUAUACUUCUCUUCCAACUCCUUUUCGGGCUUCCCUUAAUCCUCAAAUAAUGACUUUUCUCAAGUAAACCUAGGUCGAGGAAGUGUAACAAAAACUCAAUUUCUCAAAUCCAAUAAUCUCAUUAAUUUGUUAAACAAAUUAAAGCAAAAAAUGAAAACCUAGAAAUCGUUAUUCCCUAAUCCCAAUCGAGUUAAGUAAAUUAAAACAAAAAAUAAAAACCCAACAAUUAAGUUAAACAAAAACCCUCUGAUUUUUUUUUCCAACUUGUUAAAUACAAUAAAAACAAAAAAAUCAUUGAUUCCUUAAUCCCAAUCGAGUUUCCCAAAAUUCUCAAAAUUUAGCUAUUGGGAUGAAUCAUUCUUAUAGCUCAAAGGGAGCUCUUUGCAUGGUGAAAGACACUGAUUGAGAAAAAACAAUAAGCAAAGGAUUUAAGAAAAGCGAGAAAAAUAUGUUAGAGAAUAAAGAGGAGAAAAUUUGAAGAAACAAAUAGAAAUAAAUCAUUCUUUUUACUGGCAAAAAGAACAAUUUUUUUUUCUUUUUUACUUUUGGCUUUUAGACAAAAAGGAGAAGUUUUUUUAAAGUCCUCUUUUUUAACCGUUUAAGUUGGGAUUUGAUGUGCUUUUAUCUUCAAUGAAUGGCCUACCAUUCAAUGCGCGUCAAAGCAUAUGGUUGCCUAGCUGGUUUAAUGCUAUUAAUGAAAAUAGUAAUUUAUUAUUUUUAGCAAUAGGUUUUGGAGAUUUCUUGGUUCAUCAUGCUAUUGCUCUAGGUGUAACGCCCCAAUUUUCAAGAAUUUUAUGAAUGUUGGCAUAGGUUUAAUUAUGUUAGUGGGCCUUUAGAAGGCCCGAGCUUAAAAUAGAGCCCGACAAUUUUGGUUAAUUUUUGUUCCAUAAGAAAAAGGGGGUGAAAUUAUGAAAUACAACCUAUGUGAAAAUGUUUGAAAAUGCUAUAGGCUAAAUUGAAGUGGCCAAAUAAAUAGGAGUGCAAAAUAGGAGGAUUUGCAUGACAAACCUCCCAUUUUACAUGAAGUGGCCAGCCAUCAUGUUGUUGUAGACAAUAUGAGCACUUGAUAUCCAUAAUUCAUGGUACAAAUUGAUAAUGGGUUAGGUAAAUGUUCCAUGAUAAUGGAUUAGAUAAAUAUUCCAUGAUAAUGGGUUAGAUAAAUGUUCCAUGAUAAUGGUUUAGGUAAAUGUUCCAUGAUGGGCAUUUCAUGUCUUUUGCAUGAAAGAAUUAAAUGGAUGAAAUAUGAAAUUUUAUUAAAAGAAAAAGGAGUGAAAAGAACAAACUUUUGUCCAUCUUUGUUCAUCAUAGCCUAAAGUUAGAGAAGAGAAAGGAGAGGAGAAAGCUCUUGAAUGUUCGGUCACUUGGGGAAGAAAAUUGAAGGUAAGUUCAUGGUAGUUUGCUUCUAUCUUGAUGUUCACGAGUUCUUCUUGAUUCUACCUUAACUCUUGAAGCAUAUUUUGGUUUUUGGUUGUGUUGUGAGCAUUUGGUCAUGAAUUAAAAUGAAGGAAAUGGUUGUUGUUUCAUGUUCUUUUGAUGAAAAAUGGAAGCUAGGUGAAGUUGAGCCAAACAAAUGAGCAUUCAUGUGCCUUAGAUGCUAAGGGGAAAAAUCGGCUAACAUGUUGAGCUUUAAAAUGAUGAAAUGGAGACUAUACUUAAGUAAACUCAUAGAUAUGUGAUGAUUGAUUGGUGAUAUACAUGUUUAAAUAACAUGCAUGCAAGUUAUGUGUGAAAGAGUGAUUUGGUAAUAAAUCUGCUUAGGACAGCAGUAGUAAUGUGACUUUGGAAAAUCACCAUAAAUUGUGAGAGAUGAGUUAGAAGCUGAAUAAAUUAUGUAAUUAAAGCUUAAUGAGUCUAGUUUCAAAUGGAAUAAACGUGAACAUAUUUUGAAUUCUGUACAAUGAGAAAUUUUAUUCGUAAUGAAGAGUGGUCAGAUUAGCCAAACAGUGAAACAUGGGAAACUUUAAGAAAAAUCUGGUAUUGAUUGGCCAAACCAAAAAUUCUGAAAAUUUUAUGGAUAGAAGAUAUAUGAGUCUAUUUUCAGGGAAAAUUAACGGCACUUGAUUUGGAGUUUCGUAGCUCCAGUUAUAAAUGAUUCAGUGACUGUUGCUCAGGAAGACAGCUUGCAAUGAAAUUAUGAUUAUGUGGUAAACAUUGACAAAAAUUUGUUAAUGAGUUGCUUAUUGAUUUCUUAUAAGCUUACUAUGAUCUGUAGGUGUGGUUGGCCGAAUAUUGUAAGGGGUUAAUACGUAGUUUGUAUUUGAAUAGUUAGAUUAACGUGUUAGCAAUCCAAUUGUAGGCAGUUCGUGUGUGGAUUUCGUCAGCAUAUCGUCGCAAACAGGUGUGUAACUAACACCCUCUUUCUUAGUCUAGAUCGGUAAAAGCCGAAAAGCCGAAAUGCCAAAAAUCGGUAUUUUUUAGAUUUACGAGUGUGCGAAUGCUCGUGAGGUAAAUCGAUUAAUGUUUUUGGUAAGCUGCAAUGUUUGGACUGCAAAGUGCAUGAUUUUUGUGCCCUCAAUAUUUUUGGGCUUAAUAGGCCAAAAUUGGAAUAAUGGGCCAACGGGCCCAAUUCGGUAAGAACCCUCGGUACGUGAUUCUGUUAGUACGUGAAAAGUAGGAAUAUGCAUGAAAAACCCUAAAAGCAACUAAAUUACUAUAAUACCCCUAUGUAUGGAAAAUUACUGUUAUACCCCUAGGUGCAAAAUUACCGAAAUACCCUUAGGGUUAAAUUGACCUAAAUGCAUGUUUGACUGUUGUUAUUUACAGCAUGCCAUGUUGUUAUAAUCUGAUGCAUGGGACUGGGUAUUGACGGAGGAAGUACUGAAAGUGGCUUGUCCACGUACUGGAGGCUUUGCCUCAAUUUACUGUUAACUGAGCAGCAAGGCUGCAACUAUGGAGUGUUGGGCUGGGUGGGUGAGCUAUUCCCCACAUGGAGUGUAGGGCUGGUACGGGUGGAGUGUAGUGGUUGGUGGGUUGAGUAGUCUCCCCAAAUGGGCUUGCAUAUGUUAUUGAUGUUGCAUGUAUUUUGAAACGGGCCUAUGGGCCAUACUGUUAUCUGAAUAAUGGGCUAAGGCCAAGUUUAUUGUAAUUUGAAAAGGGCUCUGGCCCAGUACCACUAUUACCUGAAUGGGCUUAGGCCCAAUAGGCUUGAGCUGACUUGGGCUUUGAAUGGGUUUUCCUUACACACUGAGUUUCCCCAAACUCACCCCUUUUAUUUUCAUCCACGCAGGAAAUCCCCAACCAUAGUGGGCUUGGAGCUGUGAGGGAAUUCGGAGUGGCCACCCGUUCUGAAAGUUUGAUUUUCUUCUGGUGAACUGGACAUCCUUUUAAUUACGUUUGAGGUUUUAAACUUUUAAAUGUAAUAAGGCCGCUUAUUUAUUUUUGAUGGUUUUUAAUAUGUAUUACUAAGAUAGGUAAUACUUAUUUUAACUGUUGAAAUUGGAUAGCUUUAGGGCGCGUUUUCAAAAACAACAGUUGAUUUCAAAAUAACACGACAACAAGCAAAGCUUCCGCAAUGAAAGUAUUUUCCAAAAUUAAUCACUUUUCCUAAAAUGACUUAAUCGAAUCGGUUUCCUAGAAAUAUCCAUGACGUUAAGGUGUGGCAAUGGCGGUAUGCAUGUCUAGGAUUGGAUCCGAAGGGAGCUUGGUACUUAAGUAGUCCGAUGACUCACCACCUCUUUUCCGGUUUCCUACCUGGUGCACAGCUUCCAUUCACUUUAACCCUUAAUGAAUUAAUCUUUUGAACAUCAAGUACGAUUUUCUGGACUUAUAAUGGAAAUUUUUUUUUUACGUUUUUGAUGUGGCAUGCCAGAUCCGGCCAUAACUUCUGGGCCGGGUUUGAGGUGCUACAUUUAGUGGUAUCAGAGCCUAGGUUGUAACAACUCGGCUGUGGAAUGAGUUUACAGAAAAACAAAGAUUUUCAAAAACAAAAAAAAAUUAUAAAGAUUGCGAAGAACGCGAUUUUCAAAAUUUAGAUCUUUAGAAGGUGGCAUUCCGAAUCUCCGGCCCAAGCCUGUAAGUAUUACUCUAGACUCUUCUGAAUAUUUUUCUAAUUUAUCUGUCUGUACUGAAAUCCUACUAAAUACUCUAGAUAGGAUGAUACUGAAACCAUAGGAAAAUCUAAUAAGAGACUAAAACUGUAGCUAGACUUCGAUUCUGUGAAAAAACUCUGAACUACUGUCUGAUUCAUAAAACAUCUGUAAUAAACACUGGAAUAUUAAUUGAUGCAUAAAAAUUCGUAAUCAAGAUAAUAUGAUAUGAGUACAAUAGGCCGUGGACGGAGCCGAGGAAGUGCUCGAGCGAGAUCUUCGUCUUCGAGACAUAUGCCGGCGGUGGAUGCACCGGUACCACUGACAACAGAGGUAGAGUCUCAUAAUCGCGGUUCCGGGGAUGAUGCCCUGUCACAGGCAAUGCUUCGUGUUCUGGAAAGGGUUGCCGGGGCAAGUGCGGGCAAUGGAGUUCGGGGAUUUAUUUCUGAACGACUUCGGGCUAACGGAGCGGAGAUCUUUAAGGGCGUAUCUGGUAUAGCCCCGAAUGUGGCGGAAUAUUGGUUGGAGGCUACAGAACGGAUUAUGGACAACUUGGACUACUCUGAAGAGAUUGUGAGUGGGGUAUCUGUAGUAAGUCCUUUGGGUCAUUCGGUUAGGGUAGACAAACGGUAUAGGGAUGUACCCUUAGAAACUCAAGGUAGGAUUUUCCCUGGAGAUCUGAUGGAGUUACCGUUCGGAGAGUUUGAUCUCAUUUUGGGAAUGGACUGGCUUGUUAAGCAUAAGCCGACCCUGGAUUGUGCUGCUAAACAAAUGGUGUUAAGGACCACAAUGGAUGAGGAGGUUAUGGUGAUAGGUGAGCGAAGGGAUUAUUUGUCCAAUAUGGUGUCGGCAUUAAGAGCCGAGAAGUGGAUUCGGAAAUGUUGUGAGGCCUAUUUGGCAUUUGUAAGUCAGUCAGAAGAGGAGGGACUGAUAGUAGAUAAAGUUAGGACCGUAAAGGAGUUCCAAGAUGUUUUUCUGGAGGAGCUUCCAAGAAUUCCACCGAAUCGAGAAGUUGAGUUUGGAAUAGACUUGUUGCCUGGAAUGGCGCCUGUGUCUAUCGCACCGUAUAGGAUGGCACCGAAGGAGUUAGUAGAGUUAAAUGCUCAAAUUCAAGAGUUGUUGGAUAGGGGCUUUAUUAGGCCAAGCGUGUCUCCAUGGGGAGCACCAGUGCUAUUCGUGAAAAAGAAGGAUGGUACGAUGCGGAUGUGCAUUGAUUAUCGCCAGUUGAACAAACUGACGAUUAAGAAUAAGUAUCCACUGCCAAGGAUUGACGAUCUAUUCGACCAGCUUGGAGGAGCUUCUGUAUUUUCCAAGAUCGACCUUCGAUCUGGAUAUCAUUAGUUAAGGGUCAAGGAGGCAGAUAUCCAAAAGACGACAUUCAGGACUCGGUAUGGUCAUUACGAGUUUCUGGUUAUGUCAUUUGGACUAACGAACGCUCUUGCAGCGUUUAUGGAUCUGAUGAAUCGUGUGUUCCAACCAUUUUUGGAUCAGUUCAUAGUCAUCUUUAUUGACGAUAUCCUGGUAUAUUCUAAAACUGAAACGAAACAUGAUGAGCAUCUCCGUAUAGUGCUGUAAGUAUUAAGGGAGAAGGAACUCUUUGCAAAGUUCAGCAAGUGUGAAUUUUGGUUGAGGGAGGUAACCUUCUUAGGACAUGUGGUCUCUGCUGAGGGGAUUAAGGUGGACCCUCGGAAAAUUGAAGCCAUUUUGGAGUGGAAGCCGCCUAGGUCAGUAUCAGAAAUACGGAGUUUUCUAGGACUGACAGGAUACUACAGAAGGUUUGUGGAAGGUUUUUCUGUGAUGGCAGUACCUCUGACAAAACACAUAAGGAAAGGAGUACCGUUUGUAUGGACUAAGAAACAGCAGGAAGCUUUUGAGAAGUUGAAGAAAGUUCUGACUGAAGUACUUGUGUUAAUUCAGCCGGAGUCUGGGAAUGAUUUUACUGUGUACAGUGACGCAUCACACGUGGGUUUGGGCUGCGUGUUAAUGCAAGAGGGUAAGGUGGUUGCAUAUGCAUCACGAUAGCUUAAGCCUCAUGAGGGAAACUAUUUGACUCAUGAUUUAGAGUUGGCAGCAGUGAUAUUUGCACUUAAGAUUUGGAGACAUUACUUGUACGGAGAAAGGUGUAUUAUAUACACUGACCAUAAGAGUCUUAAGUAUUUGUUGACUCAGAAGGAGCUGAACCUUAGGCAAAGGAGAUGGAUUGAGUUACUUAAGGAUUAUGACUAUUACGUUCUUCUGGUGAACUGGACAUCCUUUUAAUUACGUUUGAGGUUUUAGGCUUUUAAAUGUAAUAAGGCCGCUUAUUUAUUUUUGAUGGUUUUUAAUAUGUAUUACUAAGAUAGGUAAUACUUAUUUUAACUGUUGAAAUUGGAUAGCUUUAGGGCGCGUUUUCAAAAACAACAGUUGAUUUCAAAUAACACGACAACAAGCAAAGCUUCCGCAAUGAAAAUAUUUUACAAAAUUAAUCACUUUUCCUAAAAAUGACUUAAUCGAAUCGGUUUCCUAGAAAUAUCCAUGACGUUAAGGUGUGGCAAUGGCGGUAUGCAUGUCUAGGAUUGGAUUCGAAGGGAGCUUGGUACUUAAGCAGUCCGAUGGACUCACCACCUUUUUUUCGGUUUCCUACCUGGUGCACAGCUUCCAUUCACUUUAACCCUUAAUGAAUUAAUCUUUUGAACAUCAAGUAUGAUUUUCUGGACUUAGAAUGGAAAUUUUUUUUUACGUUUUUGAUGUGGCAUGCCGGAUCCGGCCAUAACUUCUGUGCCGGGUUUGGGGUGCUACACUAGGUUUACAUACAACUACAUUGAUCUUAGUAAAUGGCUCUUUAAUUGCUCGCAGUUCCAAGUUAAUGCCAGAUAAAAGGGAUUUCGGUUAUAGUUUUUCUUGUGAUGGUCCGGGGCGAGGGGGUACUUGUGAAAUUUCGGCAUGGGACACAUUUUAUUUGGCAGUUUUUUGGAUGUUAAAUACCAUUGGAUGGGUUACUUUUUAUUGGCAUUGAAAACACAUCAUAUUAUGGCAGGGUAACGUCUCACAGUUUAAUGAAUCUUCCACUUAUUUGAUGGGAUGGUUAAGAGAUUAUCUAUGGUUAAACUCUUCACAACUUAUCAAUGGACAUAACCUAAUUAGUAUGAAUAGUUUAAUAGCCUGGGCAUGGAUGUUCUUAUUUGGACAUCUUACGGAUUUAUGUUCUUAAUUUAUUGGCACAGAUAUUAGUAAGAAUUGAUUGAAAUUGUAGUUCUUCAAGUUUUUGUGGCUUAUUUUCAAUUAAUAGUUUAGGAAAUCUCAUAUAGAUUAUCACCUGAAUUAGAUCUAGUCUUUUUUAAUCUCUAUACGUGCAAUUCCUUCGACACCAGAAAAUAGUUUCAUUUUUUUUACAUAAUUCUUGAUACAGUCUUUUUUUUUUCUUCUUAUAGACCUUCGAAAUACAUUUUAUGCUAUGCAAACUAAAGAGAAUGGUGAGUUUGGGUUGUACCAAGUCUAAAACCAAGUGGAUUUAUUUUUUGUCCUAUAAUUCUCCACUACUAUAUAUAUUAAGAUAUCCCUGACCCAAAGUGUUAGGUAUCGUUCUUUUAUUGGAACAUGUAUCAUUUUGCAUCAGAAAUUAACACCGUUAAAUGAGAGUACCAUAUUGAUAGACGGAAUAAAAGUUGAGAGACAAAGGAAUUUUUUGUAAUUAUCCCAUUUAUAAAAUAUGAAUAAUUAACUUUUCAAAUUUAUAAAAUAGAGAAAUUUAAUUCAUAAGUACUAGAUUUUUUUUCCAAGGUUUCCCGUUGACUUUAUGAAUUGUUUUAAUGAAGAUGGUAAAAGAUUCAACUCUCAAUCGAAAUUUGGGUGUGAAUUUUAUUAAACAAUAACAAAAUCAAGUAAAUUUCAUAUCUAAACCAAUCUCAAAUAUUACUAACUUAGAGUCCCUUUUUUGCCUAAAUUAAAGUUUUGCGAUUUUGAUAUGACAAUUAGUCAAUUUAGAUUGAUGAAAUCCAAUCAAAUAAUGAUGUACCACCGAAUUCUUGUGCCUUCAUGAUGAUUUUUUUGUACCAAAAAUUCAUAACUAUCCGUGAUAUGAUCAACCCCUCAAUUUCAGGUUCAAACUUAAAAGUUAUAUCGGUGGUAAGUGAGGAUAAAAAUAAAUUUAUAACAAAUUAAUGAAGGUUUUAAGAUAUAUUAAUGUUGUCUUUUUAAUAUUGUCCCACAUGUGUGUAAAAAUAUUAUUGAUACAUAAACUUUGAAGAUACAAUAAAGUUUAAUGAUUAUUUAUAUUUUGUAUUGGCAAAAAUAAUGUACUGAGUAUUGAGCGGAGCAUAGUAAGGAUAUCAAUUCUUAUAAAGAUUUUUUACUGUAAUUUUUAUAGAAUAAUCUAGAAAUAUAAAAUAUGGUGAGAAAAACAAAAUGAAACUUUAUUUCUAUGAUUUUAAGUGUGUCGUACAAAUAAAAUUUUACUCUUAUAAAUAGUGAUGUAAUUAUUCAAUAGGAAUAAUAAUAAAUUUUAAUUAUUCAUAACUUUUUAUUUAAAGUUAGUAAAUAUAAUAAAUAUAUUUAGUAUUAAAAAAUAUAAGUUUAUCAACAAAUAAUUAGGUAUAACAAUAAAGAGAAAAGAACUUAAGUUUAAACUUUAAAGAAAUAAAAUUAUUAAAAAAAUAAUUAUGAACUCCAAUCAUAAACGACAAAAACGGAGGAGAGGAUAUUAAACAUGAGGGGAGUUGAUGAAAAGGGAAAGGAAAUUCCAAAGGCUUGAAUGAGUUGGAGAUAGAGAUGUAGAGCGUGGGUCAGUUUGUAAAACAGGAUUUGCACGUGAAUACGCGUCACAAUGUCAAAAAACCGCGUGAACUCCAUUAUUUCCCUUUUCUUUUUGUCUUUGACCUUGGUAUCUCAAUAUUUAGCAUUAGAUUCAUUUGAUUUUAGUUAAUUUAUUUGAUAUUAUUAUUAUAUAAAAAUAAGAUCUUCAAAAUUUGAUUAAUAUUGGUUCAUGUUCUAACUCCAAAUCUUCAGUAAAAAAACAUAAUCAAAAUUUUAGCAUUGGUAAUAAGAGCAGUACUGUUUGCUUUCAAUUACAUCUUUUUUGCUGAUUCCGAUUUUAGUAAACCGGAAAUCCCGCGAACUAACCCUUAUUAAUCAUCCUCAUCAAUAAAACCGCCAAAUUAAAAAAAGAAAAUCACCAUGUUCAUUGUAUUAAUGCUCACACUAUCAGCUGACACACCCCCCUUUUUUUUUCUUUUUACUCAAAGAUCACAAAUUUUCUGAAUACCCGUUGGGGAUUUAAGCUUGUUGGUUAGAAAUGGAGAGGCAAAUUGUGAUGGAUUCGAGUUCAUCGAGUGAUUUAGUUAGGGAAAUGAUGGAGGUGAUAGAGACGGUUGGAUCCUACGCUGGAUUCAGGGUAACUCAAAGGAAGGAGUGCUUGAAUUUGGUGAGGAGAUUGACGCUUUUGGUGCCACUUUUAGAGGAGAUAAUGGAGCUUGAUUACUCAGUUUCGGGUUUGGGCUUGAAUUCUCUGCUUAACUUGAAGAAAGCACUGCUUGGAGCAAAGAAGCUGUUGAAGACUUGUAACUAUGGAAGCAAGAUAUAUUUGGUAAUCAUUUAUAAUGCCGAUUGAUUUGCCUACUUUAUUUGUAUUUUUUUCAAUUUUUUCAUUUGGCUGAUUCAAGAUGUUGCAUUUUUUCUGUUUGUUAAAAUUAGGCAAUGGAAAGUGAGGCGGUGAUGUGUAGAUUUCAUGCUGUUUAUCACAAAGUACACCACGCGCUUGAUGACAUCCCUUUUGAUAAACUUGGAGUUUCAAUUGAAGUGAAAGAACAAGUAAUAUUUCAUUUAUGUGCAUCUUAAUUUCAUCUUUCUAAAUAGAUUGCUUGAACUCCCAUUUUUUCACAUUGUUAAAUCAAUAUAUACAAUGAAUCAUUGCCUGGUUUGGUUUAGUUCUUAAUCAUUGUUUCAACCGAUGGACAAGAUAGAUACUCUCGUUUCUCCAUGCCGCACCGUAUCGUGUCCACAAUCGGGACAAUACCAGAUUACAGGCACGGCAUUAAACAGCACAGGGAAAUGAGUGUAUCCAAUUAGCCGCUUGUACUUGUGACACUUCUUAUUACAUUGGUUGAGUUUGUGAAUUAGGCCCUGGAAAAGACCCAUUUUUCCUUUUAGCUUGUUCAAUAAAGGGGUGGUUAUGUUUUUUGAUUGAAUUCCUUCAGGUUGAGCUAAUGCGAAUGCAACUUAAAAGAGCAAAGAGGAGGACAGAUACACAAGAUAUGGAGUUAGCAAUGGAUAUGAUGGUGAUUUUCUCUAAAAAAGAUGAAAGGAAUGCAGACAUUGCUAUACUUGAAAGGCUGGCAAACAAGCUAGAAUUGCAUACCAUUGCAGGGUUGAAAGCUGAAAAAACAGCUAUCGCAAAACUGGUAAAGCAAAGAGGUGGAUAUAAUGAAACCAUGCACCAAAUUGUAGAUCUCCUGGGAAAGUUCAAGCAAAUUGCAGGGAUUGAUGAAACCGUUUCACUUGAUGGUCCUAUUUCAACUAGAACUCCCCAAACAUGUCAAUCUCCUUUAGUACCUCAUGAAUUUCUCUGCCCAAUUACGUUGGAAAUCAUGACAGAUCCUGUUAUUGUAGCAACUGGACAGGUAAUCCUCACAUUACUGCAUUUAUUAAUGUUCCACUUCUUUCAAGCAAACUGAGAAAAGGUUUUUUGUUUUUGUUUAUGGUUGAAGACUUAUGAAAGAGACAGCAUUCGGAAGUGGUUAAAUUCCAACCAUCGAACCUGUCCAAAGACUGGACAAACUUUAGAAAACUUGUCUCUAGCACCAAACUUCGCACUCCGCAACCUUAUUCUGCAAUGGUGUGAGAAGAACAACCUUGAACUGCCCAAAAAGGAUAGUUAUGCAUCUUCAGUUAAUUAUUCUGCAGAAAUCAUGGAAGAAAUCUCUUCAUUGGUUCUAAACCUAUCUUCUAGUCAGCCAAAUGUGCGUAGAGAUGCCAUUGUGAAGAUCCGUAUGCUCUCGAAAGAGAAUCCGGAGAACAGAAUUUUCAUUGCCAACGAUGGAGGAAUCCCACGUUUAGUUCAGCUAUUAUCUUAUCCAGAUUCCAACAUUCAAGAACACACUGUCACUGCCCUCUUGAACUUAUCAAUUGAUGAGACCAACAAAAGGCUUAUAGCUAGAGAAGGAGCUAUUCCUGCCAUUAUUGAGAUACUGCAAAAUGGAACUGAUGAAGCUAGAGAGAACUCUGCAGCAGCCUUAUUUAGCUUGUCAAUGCUUGAUGAGAACAAAGUUCUUGUAGGGAACUUCAAUGGGAUCCCACCAUUAGUAGCUCUGUUGAAAAACGGGACAAUGAGGGGUAAAAAGGAUGCAGCCACUGCACUUUUUAACUUGUCUUUGAACCAAGCCAACAAGUCCAGAGCCAUUAAAGCUGGCAUUAUACCACCAUUACUUCAUUUACUGGAUGACAAAAAUCUGGGUAUGAUUGAUGAAGCACUCUCCAUCUUGUUACUUCUUGCAUCUCAUCCCGAGGGCCAGAACGAAAUCGGUCGAUUGUCAUUCAUCGAAACUCUGGUAGAAAUCAUUAGAAACGGGACCCCCAAGAACAAGGAAUGUGCGGUUUCAGUUCUGCUAGAGUUGGGGUUAAACAAUUCAUCCCUUAUUUUAGCUGCUCUCCAGUUUGGUGUUUAUGAACCCCUAAGAGAAAUCUCCAUAUCUGGAACAAACAGAGCUCAAAGAAAAGCUAAUUCGUUAUUACAACAUAUGAGUAAGUGUGAACAUAUUCCUUGAACUUGCUCAAAUGGUUCCAAUUGCUAAUAUAUUUUCGCUUGUUUCAGUCUUUGUAAAAUUUGCAGCUUCACAACGUAUUAGAGAUUGUGAUUUUUGUGUCAGUUAUGUUGUUCAAACAACUUGUUUUUGGUUUUUUUCUAAUAUUCUUAAAAUAUAUUUUUGUUUUUCUAAAGAUAACUCUCUUGAAAAAUGAUUUCUUAAUAAAUAGAUUGGAUAGUGACACAUUAAAACUAGAAAAAUACUUAUGCUAUAAAACAUGGUUAAUUUAGGGGCAACAAUUUGGAUUACAGAUCGGAUAUUUGCAAAUAUCCAAUCCAAAUAAGGGUUACAAAAUGUUUAUCAUUUUGCUUCUAGCAUGACCUUUCACAAGAGAAGGCUAUAAAUAUGUUUAAUCCAUAACCCCUUCCUAACCUUUAUAUAUAUAUGUUUAAUUCGUAACUCUUCCUCAACCUUUAAAUAAAAGAAUAAUGUGCUUUAACGCAUUCAAACCCACGUGCUUCUGCACUAGUAAUAAUGUUGAUGUCAAUUGAGUUAAGACUCAAUCAAUAAUUUGAGAUUAUUCUUUUUAUUAUUUGAAUCAAUAUAUUUGGACGGUUUACACAAUGCAAGUUUAAAAUCUGUAAUUACACAAAACCAAGCCGACUUCUAUUUUUUAUUUCAUAAAUAAAUCAUUUUUAUUUUUAUUAUAUAAAAAUGUUUUAUAUUUAAAAUAGUGAAAAUAAUUUAAAAGUUCUAGAAAAAAAAGUUUAAAAAAUUCGAAAUAAAAAAUAAAACAAUGAAAAAUCGAGAACCAAACCAACCUGAAUUGAAUUAUGAUGGACAUUAAAAAAAAACACUAAAAACCUAAUCAAAACAAACUGAUAUCAUUCUACAUGUAACUAACUUUAUCGUAGAUUUAUAGUAGCUAACAUUAUCAUAUAUUGUUGUUAUACUUGUAUCCUUACCCUAUAUAGUAAUAAUGUGUAACCUUAUAUAGUAUAUACAACUAUGUCACUAUAAUGUACAUUUGUAUAUUAAUGAUACGUAAUCUUAAACUCUAAAUGUGCAGCUAACUUUAUCGAAUAUUAUUAUACUUAUAUCUUUACAUCAAUUUAGACCCAAUUAGACUCUCUUUUGGGUCAUUCAAGAUCCAAUGAGUGGCAUAAUUGGACAAAAACCCUCACUUAUCUAUAAAUACCCCAAGGACUAACAUAACAGGGGAACUCUUUUUCGACUCUCGACCUUAGAACAAGUGAACUAACCUUCUUCAACAUCACUCCCUCUCCUCCUUUUCCACUUCCAUUGACAUUAUGUAUCAACAAUUAUAAUAUAUACAAUUAACAUUAUAUAAUUAAAGUAGAUUUAGUAAUGAUAUGUAACCCUAUACAACUAAGUUAUUAUAAUGCACAUUUGUUAUUUUCAUGAUCUUAAACCUUAAGUUCAAAUCUUGUUAUGGUAUUAUUUUACUAAAAAAUAUGAAAAGACAAAAAUAUCCUUAUACUGAUAUUUGUUAAUAUGUAAAGUAAUAUUAUUUUAACAAUUUCUUAAUUAAAUUGGUACUCAGUUGACUUAUCAUCAACUCAGUCAGAAGUUUAAUAUAAGAAUAUAAAUAUAAAUAUUAAAUAAUGGAUCCAUUGACAAUAAUAUAAUAGAUAAAACUUGAAAUUUAAAAUUUAAUUUAUGAUUAAUUUUUAAUAUGAAAAUUUAAAUACUAUUAAAUAUUAUUAUAAUUUAUCCAAUUUUUAAUGAAAAUAAAAAUUUUAUUAAUUCUCUUUAAAGUUGGACAUAUAAGUAUAAGCCCAAUAUAAAACCACAACAAAUUUUAAAGAAAAUUCUUCGAUGCCCAAUUUAUUAAAAGAAAAAAUUUUCCCCCAAUUGAAGCUUACAGCCAUCGACUUCCAAGUCCCGUUUCAAAUUUCCCAAAACGUCAAAACCUAAAAUUUCCCCCAAUUCCCCCAGCCCUCGACUCUCAAGCUGUCCUAACCACUGUCUAGUACCGGUCAAGCACCGUCAACUGUUUACCGUCGAUUACCGACCACCGGCCUCCAAUUUCUCGUUUAACUGGUUAGUUUUUUUCCUCAUUUGACGAUUUAUGUCCGUUCUUGUAACCAUUUACCAAUCAAUUAUUUUGCUAAUUUCAUUUAUAAAUUUUCUCAAGAAGAGGAAUAAGCAAUGACUUGAAGGAUGGAAUGAAAAGGACAUAAAAUGUGAUUGUAGAAUUUGGUGAGAAAAAUGAAGUUAGGCGUCAAAACAAAAUUCAGAAAUAAAAAUAAUGUUGAAGAAGACGUAAGAGAGCAAAGUAAUGACAUUAAUUGCAUUGAUUAUUGCAAUAUGUCACUGCUCAGUUUUAUUCUUUCCCCUGCAACCCUAAUCCAUAUCAGUUUUCUUCAAACAUUUCAAUGAGUUUUCUGUAAUAUUUGGAUUUUCCCUGAUUUUUGGUUUUUAUAAAAUAUUUUUUAAUCUGAAAGUAUGUUUAUAAAAUAUAGGAAUUUCUAAAAUUUUAUAUAGUUUUUUUAAUUUACAGAAAUUUUCACAUUUUUUGAAAAUUUUUUAAAAAAAUUAUAAUUUCUAAAUAAUUUUUUGAUGUGAUAUAUAUGAUAAAAUAGUCCAGUCUACAAUUAAGUACAUGUACAUCAGCAAAUAUAGUUGACCAUUAGUCAACUAACUGCCACAUCUAAUUCUGAUUUAUUUGAUAAAGAUUAAAAGAUUAAGGUGGCAAUAGGGAAAAAAAAGAAUCAGUACUAAUUUACAUAACAGUCAAAUGUUAAGAGCAAAAUUUGCAAUUAGGCCUUUUAUUUAUUAUUUUGUAAAGUAGCAUAAAAGAUUUGGACUUUUUGUUUUUAUUUUUUUCAAUAUUCUUAUUUGGAAAUAUAUAUAAAAAAAAAAUUCAUGGGCUUGAUCCUGGUUGGCUAGCCUACUAAUUGAAGUUAAAUGUCUAACUUAUACCCUAGACCCUAAGCCUCUCUUCCUGGCUCCAACAGAUACCUAUUUCUAUAAUGGCUCCUUCAAUGUUCCUAGCCCAAUGUCAGGUGGUUCUAUUCCCUUCCAAUAAACCUUUCCAAUGCUCAGUUCUUCUCUGUUUUACGUUCUCAACACCCUAUUUUUGUUUUUGAACCUCAAAACAAUGUUGCCCCCAAAUUUAACAAAUUCAAAAAUGUAACACUGCUAACCCUUAUCCGUCACCGGAAUAGGGUUAUGAAGUAUUAUCAGACUUUUCAUAUCAAAUACGAAUAUUUCAUAUCAAUUAACAUACAUAUUAGAAACUAAUCAUAGUCAUUCAUAUUGUCUCAUAUAUAAGCCCUCGAGGCUCAAAAUACGCACUUAAAAUGAAUCGGAACUAAACCGGGAACUCAAAAAAAUUUUCACAAAAUUUUAAAAUUUUUCCUAGGUGUAGGGAAAACUCGCCCGUUUGGUCAGGCCGUGUGGCUCACAUGGUCAAGAGACACACUCGUGUUUUAGGCUGUGUGGACAUUCGAAGUGGGGCACAUAGCUUGACCACAUAGGCGUGUGCCCCCUGCACCUAGAAAAAAUUUUGAAGUUUUGUAAAAAAUUCUCUAAAUUCCUGGUUUAGUUCCGAUUCAUUUUAAGUGCGUAUUUUGAGUCUCGAUGGCUCAUAUAAGGGACAAUAUGAGUGACUAUAAUUAGUUUCUGAUAUGUAUGUUAAUUGAUAUGAAAUGUUUGUAUUUGAUCUGAAAAGUCCGGUAAUGUUUCGUAACCUUGUUCCGGUGACAGAUAAGGGUUAGUGGUGUUACAUUUAGUGGUAUCAGAGCUACGGUUUUGUCGAUUCUCGAACUCAAUAUAGCGUGUGAAAUGUCUAGAAAUACAUUCCAUAUAAAUUUAUGAUGUGUAUGAUCUUAUCUAACCUUUGUUUUUUUAUAUAUUGUAAAGAUGUCAGACGGAUCUGAACGUGCUAACCAUGAUGAGGUCAAUAGUAGAGCACCGGCUUCUGAAUAUGGGACGAGUAGUAAUGUCCCAAUCCCUCCGGCUCUGAAACAAGAACUUAAAAAUAUGUUCUUUGAGUAUAUGAACCAGUGGUUCAGUAAAUUUAUGCAAGAAAGGAAUCUGGCUCAACAACCUCCAUCCCCUAUUGUACCGCCUAUAGUGCCUCCGGUUGCACCUCCACCAGUGAAUGAAUCUAGUAAACGUACUCCGAUUGGGAAACUUCGGAAGUAUGGGGCUGAAGAAUUUCGAGGUAGGUUAGAAGAUGAUUCAGUUAAAGCCGAGUAUUGGCUUCAAAAUACAAUAAAAGUCUUUGAAGAAAUGGCUUGUUCCCCUAAUGAUUAUCUUAGAUGUGCUGUUUUUUUACUGAAAGAGGAAGCAUAUAACUGGUGGUCGACAAUAGUGGUUGUAGUGCCAAAGGAGAAAAUUUCCUGGGAAUUUUUCCAAACUGAAUUUAAGAAGAAAUAUAUCGGUAAAAGAUAUUUAGAUAAGAAGAAGAGAGAAUUUCUUGAGUUGCGCCAAGAAAACAGAUCAGUAGCUGAGUAUGGAAGUGAAUUUCUAUACCUCAGUAAAUAUGCUCGAGAAAUUGUGCCAACCGAAGAAGAAAUGUGCUUUCGAUUUAAAGAAGGGUUGAAUGAUGAAAUCCAAAUAAUGAUUGGAGGCAAUGAAAUUCGAGAAUUUGUUGUUUUGUUAGAUCAUGCACAGAAAAUGGAAGAGUUGUAUAAUCGAAAAAUGCAAAGGGAUAGACAGAAUCGAGAAUCUUAUAAAAGAGGUUCUUCUAAAACAUUUUCGGCAUCGCCGGCUAAAAAGUCUAAAGAUGAUUUCAGUCGAGCUACCUCAAUGUCUGAACAAUCAAAUAAAAACAAGAUGAUUCAACCUGAUUACGGGGUAUCUACUAGACCCACUGUUAGUGUGGGUAGUGUGCAAAAUACUCCUAAGCCUAAAUGCAGAUAUUGUGAGAAAUACCACCUUGGCGAGUGUAGAAGUAAAGUAGGGGCUUGUUAUAAGUGCGGAGCAACUGAUCAUUUUAUUCGAAAUUGUCCUCAAUUGUAAAAAGUAAAGGAAGAGCAGAAAAAAAAGCAAUUUCCUACUUCUCAGAGAAGUAGACGUUCGGGCUAAAAUAGUGCUACUGGGACUACUCGUUCGGGUAUGAAAGAUAUUGCUGAUCGGUCAGAGUCUAGAGCACCUGCGCGUACCUAUGCCAUUCAAAUAAGAGAAGCACAACACUUGGGAAAAAUAGAAGGUUAGUACCCAAAUAAGCUAGUGAUCUUUUACUACUUGGAACUAAGACAAGUUUUUUUUUUUCAAAUGUAAUUAUUCCUAUUAAAUUUAAAAAUGGCUGAAUAUAAUCCAAUUACAAAAACUAUGAAAACAGCAUCUCUAUAGUAUUUGUCUUCCAACUCAACUAAGUUUAAAAACGCUUUUUCUAUGGAUAUAUAAAUCAUCCAACAGAUGUGUAAUAUUUUGAAAUGUCAAGAUUCUCAUUAUAGUCAAAUGAAGUCCAUGGUUGUUAAUUCCAUGCAAUAAAAGAUCAAGAGCAUAUUUUUUUUACUCUUAGUGAAGUUUGUUAUUUGGAUAUUAACCCCAAAGAGGUGAUGACUUGGAAACCUACUAUAUAUUUUCAGGUGUUAUCAGAAAAGACUAUUCUGUUUGUAGCUAUUAUAUUUGAUUUGACUAUGUUAAGGUUGAAGAAAGAUUGAUCUAAAUGCUUUUUUUUUUUUCAUUUUCCUUUUAAAUUUAUCAUUCUUUUGAGGAGUUUGUGCAGAAUUUAAGAUAGUUACAUCUACUUACGAAACAUCAAGCAUCUGAAUAGGAAAAUAACCUUUUUAAAUUUCAUAUAUUUAUUAAUGGAUGCUAUGAUGCUUCAUUCCACUUUUGUUUGUUUUUUCUUUCUUUCCUUUUUCCCUUUUCCCUUUUUGCUUUUUUCUCCUAGUAGACAUUGAUACAAACUGCUAAAGUUAGAUCUUCUAUUUUGUUGGUAUCUAUAAUGUUCCUUUAUCCUCUCAGCCGCUGGCUCGAAUGGGAGCAACUGUCACUGGAAUUGAUGCAGUAGAGAAAAACAUCAAGAUUGCCCGUCUUCAUGCUGUAUGUUAUUUUCUUUUCAACCAUUUCAUGAUAUGUUGGUAGUGUUAUUUUUUGUACAUGCAAGUGUAGUCUUUCAUAAUUUUCUUAUUACUAGAAAUAUUCCAGUUUUUGCAGCAUUAUUUGUUCCUUUCAUGUUAGCCUGAGCAUGUCUAAAUCUUAGGUUGAUUUUAGUUAUAACUGCACAUGGGGUUGAAAGAAAAGAUUAUUAUUUGCUUAUUUAAUGAUAACUCUAUUUUAGUUCUAUGGUUUUGAAGAUAUUGUGUUGUCUCAAGGCUUUCUACUUGUCUUUGAAAGAAUAAGGUCAAACAAGAUUCUGCUAUUUAAUCAGGCAUGACUUACAUUAUAUGAAAAAUUCUUGAAAUGGAAAGCUCUUACCUGGUUCUACCGUGGCAGAACUAGCCGGUUAGGUAGGUGAGUGGAUAUAUGUUGAGUAUUUUUCAUGUAAAGAAGUCUUCAAGUUUUAAGCAACAGGUUUAUACUCAAUAAUCAAAUCAUUCUAGCUUUUCCACAAUAUCUGAAACAGUUUCCAAGUUAUUUUCAAUUUAUAAAAUCAUCCUAAACACAUUAAUGGUUUCCUACCUUGUCCAUCUGUGUCUUUCAUCCAUUCAUUCCUAUCAUUCAUUUAUUUUCUUUUGAAAUAAAUAUCUGGACCCAUCAUUUGAAAGGCUCCCUCUUCGAAAUGUUACUUCUUAAGCAAGCAGAGUGUGACUUGAGUUUUCCUUCCAGCAAUAAUUUGGCAUAUGCUAUCAUUUAUAUAUAUUUGCUUCCUGCUACAAAUUUUUUAAGAUGAAUCGUUUGUAUCUGAAUACUAUUGCACCAAAUUACAAGUCUAAAAGUUUACAGUCCUGAGUGCCUGUAACUCAUUCAUGUUAUUGUGUUCUAGACUUGAACUUGGAUUUUAUGAUAUACCUUCCUCUACAGAAUUUGGAUCCAACAACUUCAACUAUUGAAUACUGUUGUACAACAGCAGGUACAUUUCUUCUGUAGGUUAAUCUCUCUGCUAAUCUAGAUCUAUAAUUAGUUAAAUGAGCGUUGCUUUCUGUUCUUUUUCAAACUUCUAAACCUUUUGAGAUGGUGAUGUUUCUGGAUGAGUGGAAUGUGGAUGUGGAGGACAUCAGGACAAAGUACUUGUUGGCUGUGUCUCUGACACUGAAUCGGGUUGAAAUGUGAAUGAGAACAUGCAGCCAAAUUUAGUAGUUCUCAUGCAAAUAAAAUCAUCAUGAUAGAACUGCCAUAUGUAAAAUUCUCUCAAAGUAGCCCUCUACUAGGAACUUGAUUUUGGUGGGUGAACUGUCAGAGCAAAUAACCUGGAAAAUUUACAAUUGAAAAAAGGAUAAAUGCUAGCUGAGUUUUCUGUAGCUGGGUUUUUUUACUCAAAUUUACCAGAACUGUAAUAAAUUUCUUUGGUUGGUGGUGAACAUUAGAUUUCUUGGGAUCAGUAUUCCAUCAAUGUGAUCUCUUUAGCGCUCUCUUCCCCUCUUACUACAUAUUUUUUGUGUGAAACCCAUAAAUACAGCUAUUGCUGUAGUCUUUGGUAACUUCAUUUUUCCCCUGUUGUCAUCUGAAAGAUAUUGAAGACAAUUGAAAUCAUAACCAUUUUUGUUCUUGAUGUCUGUGAUGGAUAUUUGUUCUUUCGUAUCUAUAGAUGCUUGCCACUAUAAUUGAUUGGUGAACUUUGAUAACUGUCACAACAUGGACAAUUUGGAUUGGUUAAACAAUCAUACGGAACUCUUUGAGUUUUCUGUCCUUUCCUGAGUUUUUUUGUUGUUUAUUUUUAGUGAUAGCUUACGUGGAUACACUUUCAUGAACAGAAAAGCUGGUUGAAGAGCAGAGAAAGUUUGAUACAUUGAUUGCUUUAGAGGUAUGCACUCUCUGGACAACUACGUCUCUCUCACUCCCUCCAUUUGUCUCUAUUGAUUGUUUAAAGACUGCUACAUUUUUUAUUUUGGUGUAAUAAUGAUGCACUCAUUACUGCUACGAGCAUUUUUAUGGUCUGUUCAAGAUUUCAAGUUAUCUAGCGUUUCACAUACCUUGGUCAUUCGCUAAUUCUUUAUAUACUUUUCGUUGUAAAGUUGUGUUGUUUUUUUUUUUUUUUGGUAAAUUAUUAACUUUUACUUAAGGUGAUUGAGCACGUAGCAGAUGCUGCUGAAUUCUGCAAGUCUCUCUCGGCAUUAACCGCUCAUGAAGGAGCUACUGUUGUUUCAACAAUUAAUCGCUCUAUGAGAUCAUAUGCAACUGCCAUUGUUGCAGCAGAGUACCUGCUACAAUGGGUAUGAUUCUGUCAUCUUUUAAGUACAACACUUUUUUUUUUCUUUUUCUAUUUCGAUAUGUAAUUAUGUAUCUGUUCUAUACAAAUGCCUUGUAGAGAUUUAACCCUUACUUUUAGGAUUUCUUUUCGUAUUCACAUCUUGUUUGAAAUUUGAUCUAAUUGGGAUCUUAUUUCGAUGCUUUUUCAUAUCUACAUUUUUUAAUUCAUAGGCUAAAAUGUUGAACAUGGGUUUGAAGUUUUAUCCACACAAUAUUACAAAUAUAAAAUUCCAAUGAAAUAGUGUUGUUCAGAACUUGGAUUCAGUGUCCUGCAAAUCAUUAGGGGACCUUGUAUUGAAACAGAUUAGCAUUGUAAGGAGAAAUUGACAUAUGAAUACAUGUGUAGCUAUUGUCCCUGAAACUAG